UAGAGAGAGGAAGUGAGAGAGAAGGGAAAUUAGAGAGAGAAAGUAGAAAAUCAACCAAGUUUAAGGCCCCGAAUCCCAAAGCUCGUGAAGGAAAAAGUGUAGUACAAGUCGUUGUCGUCAUUUUAAGCCCAAGAUCGGACUUGGGGGUGUUGAUUUCGUGAUUACUACUCUUGAAAGAUUGAAGUUGAAGGGAUUGAAGAACAUUGUGAUACGCUCAAAAGCGGGAAGUUAAGGUACGGAUUUACAGGACGACGCUUCUGAUCAUUAGGAUUUGCUCGUAUCAGCUUAUUGGUGAGCCCCAUCUCAUUCGGGGUUUAGUCAACUUUUACUUUAUGAUUAAUUAUGCAUCUAAAGGUAUGCUGGGGGCCUUGUCCCAGUAAGUAUGUUUUCCAGUCAGACUCAUGAUAGAGGUUUCAUAGACUAGACAAGUCAGUUAUGCUAUGUCAGACAUUCGGAGUCGUAUAGCCAUUUUUGGCUCAUUCGUGUU